CAAGUUUCUUGCCUGCCAGUUUAAUUUCAUUAUCACAUUCUAAGUACCACAAACGUCAAUAAUCACAGCUGGUAUCAAUUACAUUCGUGCACGCUAUGGUUAAAUUGAUAACAUACCUCGCCUGCGGCGGCACAUAUUUUGAAAUUUGAAUAUUCACACCGUUGCUACCGUUGGCGCAAAGGCGCAAGAAGCACGGAUUUACAAACCAACGCACAUAAAGUAUCAUUCGAAAGCCAAGUAACAUACAGAUGGUUCUAUACUGAAGUGAAUCAGUUUUGAUAUGAAAAGAAGCGGAGGAAUAACUUGUAACAACGGUGGCACAACCGUAUUAACUUGAUGAAUAUUAAAGCCAUCAAAGUGCGCAAUCAAAUUGCUGAGCCACAUCUUCACUGAAGGCUGAAGCUGAGAUGCAAGACAGAAUCCAAUGUAACAGAAUCCAGCAAGCAACAUUUGGAUGCCAAAACAGUCACUGAAUUGUUUGAUGUACUCAUGCAAUAUCAAGUUUGGCGAGGACAGGAUAAAAAGUCACACUCACACCAAGAACACCAAGUGAUCAUGGAUGCUUCACAUAGGCAGAAAUAUGAAGAAAGAAAAACGGAGGAAACAUGAAGCGAUGUAAUAAACACCACAGAUGAUAAAA